rnacentral:lncRNA from 1 species
AAUAAGUCAACAUGAAUGAAAUGGUCAGUUGACCCCUUUAGGAGUUAUUGCCCUUUAUAGUCAAUUUUUAACCAUUUUUCGUAAAUCUUUAGUAAUAUUUUACAAAAAUCUUCUCCUCUGAAACUACUGGGCCAAAUUAAUCCAAACUUAGCCACAAUCAUCUUUUGGGUUAGUAGUUUGAAAAAUGUGUCCGGUGACCCGGCCAUCAAACCAAGAUGGCCGCCAUGGCUAAAAAUAGAACAUGGGGUAAAAUGCAGUUUUUGGCUUAUAACUCAAAACCCAAAGCAUUUAGAGCAAAUCUGACAUGGGGUAAAAUUGUUUAUCAGUUCAAGAUCUAUCUGCCCUGAAAUUUUCAGAUGAAUCGGACAACCCGUUGUUGGGUUGCUGGCCCUGAAUUAGUAAUUUUAAGGAAAUUUUGCUCUUUUUGUUUAUUAUCUUGAAUAUUAUUAUAGAUAGAGAUAAACUAUAAACAGCAAUAAUGUUCAGCAAAGUAAGAUUUACAAAUAAGUCAACAUGACUGAAAUGGUCAGUUGACCCCUUUAGGAGUUAUUGCCCUUUAUAGUCAAUUUUUAACCAUUUUUCGUAAAUCUUAGUAAUCUUUUACAAAAAUCUCCUCUGAAACUACUUGGCCAAAUUAAUCCAAACAUGGCCAC